CAGUAACAGGUAAAACGAGUAACGUUAUAUAGUUAGCGUUUUGUUAACCGCUUCUCGCCAGCGUCAACAUCUCCAGGGGUUUGAGUUCAUUAUCGAAAAUGAAACAUUUGCUGUUCUCUUCGAGUUUUUAUUUGUGGCUGGCAAAUUUCAAAGCUUAAAUAAGAUAGAACAGGGCCAAGUGUAUAGCAACAGCAACAGCAACAGCAAAAACAAAAAUCAACACUUGCCAGUAUUUCGUAAUACUGCUUUAGAGCUCUGUUAGGAUCGACGUGUUUGCAUUUGACAAGCGCCGCAGCUUACUAAUGUACAAACUGUUAAUUGCGCCAUUGAAUGGAGCGCUCACUGUUAAACACACGUAAAUUAAAAACGUGCUCGCACACACGAACAGGCGUAGCACAUACAUGCAUAUCUAUAAAGAAAUAUGUUUGUGUGCAGAGAAUGAAAUGCAAAUCGAGCGAAAUAAAUGGAACGUCGCAUGGAAUUUGCUGAAAUUGGCAAGAAAUAAACAUUCAACCAACAGGCAAAGGCAAAGGCAGAGACAGACGUAGAGACAGAGGCGAGUCCGCGCAGAUUUUUUUAGGUAGGUAAUUCAAAUCGCAAACAUGGAAAUUUUAUACACAGAAAUUAUGUGGGCAAGAAAGCAGCCUACAUUAUAUCAAGGGUAGCAAGGCUGCCACCAGGUAGGUCCUUUGAAAUUAAUUUAAAUACACACCAAAUAUUUUUUCAUUUUUCGUAUACUAUUCAAUUUCGCAUAUACAGUUUCAGAAAGCGUAUAAGAUUACCUAUGGAUAUAAUAAGCACAACGAUUUUAUGCUAAUUAAUCUAUCUACUGUUUAUAACAGAUUACACGCCUGCUCUGAGCUCUUAACAUUUCCAAAACCAAGUCAUGCUAUGUUACGAAAAUCGGUCUGUUAACUUGACAGUGUGACGUCACAUUUCACAAUGAAGAACCUUUGACACUGUUAUCUCUCUUAAACACAGUGCAUGAAUUAAAAUCGUAAAGUAGUUUCUAAAUGA